rnacentral:lncRNA from 1 species
GGAAAGCUUGCUUUGCGUACUUUCGUGUAAGGAUGUUUCAAUCAUACACCAAUUGAGGGAGGAAUUGAAUCGAGCCAGGCAAGAAGUUGAUCGAUUUGAACAGUUUCAUAAUCUACGGCACAAUUAUAUGAAAAUUGCUUGAUCAUCGAUAGAUGUCGCUAAUUACAAGAAAUGGACAAAGCUAAGAGGGGAAGGACGAUAGAAGAACAUCUAGGAAUUAGUAUUCCCUAUUACCUGUG